rnacentral:piRNA from 1 species
UUCAGAAAGUCUGUCUGGUUUCAGGGCAU